rnacentral:rRNA from 1 species
UACGUAGGGUGCAAGCGUUGUCCGGAAUUAUUGGGCGUAAAGAGCUCGUAGGCGGUUUGUUGCGUCGGCUGUGAAAUCCCGAGGCUCAACCUCGGGUCUGCAGUCGAUACGAGCAAACUAGAGUGUUGCAGGGGAGACUGGAGUUCCUGGUGUAGCGGUGAAAUGCGCAGAUAUCAAGAGGAACACCAGUGGCGAAGGCGAGUCCCUGGACAACUUCUGACGCUGAGGCACGAAAGCUAGGGGAGCAAACAGG